rnacentral:rRNA from 1 species
AGGAGGCAGCAGUGGGGAAUAUUGGACAAUGGGGGCAACCCUGAUCCAGCCAUGCCGCGUGAGUGAUGAAGGCCUUCGGGUUGUAAAGCUCUUUUGGCGGGGACGAUGAUGACGGUACCCGCAGAAUAAGCCCCGGCUAACUUCGUGCCAGCAGCCGCGGUAAGACGAAGGGGGCUAGCGUUGUUCGGAAUUACUGGGCGUAAAGGGCGCGUAGGCGGUCUUGUUAGUCAGGCGUGAAAGCCCUGGGCUCAACCUGGGAUGUGCGCUUGAUACUGCGAGGCUUGAGUGCAGGAGAGGAUGGUGGAAUUCCCAGUGUAGAGGUGAAAUUCGUAGAUAUUGGGAAGAACACCGGUGGCGAAGGCGGCCAUCUGGACUGCAACUGACGCUGAGGCGCGAAAGCGUGGGGAGCAAACAGGAUUAGAUACCCCCGUAGUCCC